CAAAACAGAUCCCCCCGUGGUCUGCAGAAUGUUGCUUUGCGUGCUGGCUCUGAGUUUCUGAAGAAAGCAAGCCCCAUCCCAAACGCCCGCACGAAUCGAGCAGGAACAGCCCACCACCACCGCACCGUCCACUCCCGGAGACUGUUGAGCCAAAAAAAAAAAACUCGCAGCCGCAACAUCGCAAUCCAAGAUUCCAAGGUACCGAAAGAUUCUUGCGGGUGCAGCAGAGCAGUGCAGCGAAGAAAGUGGAUUGCUGCCAACCCGACUCAAGCGAGCAAACCGAAAGGACAGGAGAGGAGGAAGAAGCAGCAGCAGGGAGACGUAGAGCGCGCGAUGCGGGGGGAGAAAACACACAGCUGGAGUGGAGGCAGUACCUGGAAACAGCGGCCGCAGCCGAG
rnacentral:misc_RNA from 1 species